rnacentral:rRNA from 1 species
UACGUAGGUGGCAAGCGUUGUCCGGAUUUACUGGGCGUAAAGAGCGCGCAGGCGGUCGUUCAAGUCGCGUGUGAAAGCCCCCCGGCUCAACUGGGGAGGGUCACGCGAUACUGAUCGACUCGAAGGCAGGAGAGGGAUGCGGAAUUCCAGGUGUAGCGGUGAAAUGCGUAGAUAUCUGGAGGAACACCGGUGGCGAAGGCGGCAUCCUGGACCGACACUGACACUGAGGAGCGAAAGCCAGGGGGAGCAAACGGG